rnacentral:ncRNA from 1 species
CGGUCCGGGACUGUCCUCAGUCCCGGGUCGUCUCGGCGCGGUUCCGAGCGGUCGCUCCCUCGCGAGGUGCCGCGGGUCAGCGGCUGACGCCAGCCACCUUCCCGACCCGUCUUGAAACACGGACCAAGGAGUCUAACAUGUGCGCGAGCCGCGGGGCAGUACGAAACCCGUAAGGCGAAAUGAAGGUGAACGCCGGCGCGGUCCGGCGGAGGUUGGAUCCCGUCCCGUCGGGGCGGGCGCACUACCGGCCGAUCUUCUCCGCCCUGUCGGCGAGGUCGAGCGAGAGCGUGCAAGUCGGGACCCGAAAGAUGGUGAACUAUGCCUGAGGAGGUUGAAGCCAGAGGAAACUCUGGUGGAGGACCGUAGCGAUUCUGACGUGCAAAUCGAUCGUCAAAUUUGGGUAUAGGGGCGAAAGACUAAUCGAACCGUCUAGUAGCUGGUUCCCUUCGAAGUUUCCCUCAGGAUAGCUGGCGCUCAGUCGCAGUUUUAUCUGGUAAAGCGAAUGAUUAGAGGUCUUGGGGGCGAAACGCCCUCAACCUAUUCUCAAACUUUAAAUUGGUAAGAAGCCCGACUCGCUCGUUUGGAGCCGGGCAUGGAAUGCGAGUGCCAAGUGGGCCACUCUUGGUAAGCAGGACUGGCGAUGCGGGAUGAACCGAACGCCGGGUUAAGGCGCCCGACGCGACGCUCAUCAGAGCCCACAAAAGGUGUUGGUUGAUAUAGACAGCAGGACGGUGGCCAUGGAAGUCGGAAACCGCUAAGGAGUGUGUAACAACUCACCUGCCGAAUCAAUCAGCCCUGAAAAUGGAUGGCGCUGGAGCGUCAGGCCUAUACCCCGC